ACGGGAUUUGUCCCGGAAAGGAAUGUGGCUCUCCAUUGAGCUGAACCUGAGG
ncrna:unclassified sequences eL15-Euryarchaeota ribosomal protein leader